rnacentral:rRNA from 1 species
GAUGAACGCUAGCUACAGGCUUAACACAUGCAAGUCGAGGGGAAACGAUAGAGAAAGCUUGCUUUUUCUAGGCGUCGACCGGCGCACGGGUGAGUAACGCGUAUCCAACCUGCCCAUCACUUGGGGAUAACCUUGCGAAAGUAAGACUAAUACCCAAUGAUAUCUCUAGAAGACAUCUGAAGGAGAUUAAAGAUUUAUCGGUGAUGGAUGGGGAUGCGUCUGAUUAGCUUGUUGGCGGGGUAACGGCCCACCAAGGCGACGAUCAGUAGGGGGUCUGAGAGGAAGGUCCCCCACAUUGGAACUGAGACACGGUCCAAACUCCUACGGGAGGCAGCAGUGAGGAAUAUUGGUCAAUGGGCGAGAGCCUGAACCAGCCAAGUAGCGUGCAGGAUGACGGCCCUAUGGGUUGUAAACUGCUUUUAUAAGGGAAUAAAGUGAGUCUCGUGGGGCUUUUUGCAUGUACCUUAUGAAUAAGGACCGGCUAAUUCCGUGCCAGCAGCCGCCGCAGUAA